GGGGAAUAUUGCGCAAUGGGGGGAACCCUGACGCAGCAACGCCGCGUGAGUGAAGAAGGUCUUCGGAUCGUAAAACUCUGUCAUAGGGGAAGAAGGAAGUGACGGUACCCUAUGAGGAAGCCCCGGCUAACUACGUGCCAGCAGCCGCGGUAAUACGUAGGGGGCAAGCGUUGUCCGGAAUUACUGGGCGUAAAGGGUGCGUAGGCGGCCGAUUAAGUCAGAUGUGAAAUACCAGGGCUCAACCUUGGGGGUGCAUAUGAAACUGAUUGGCUUGAGUGCAGGAGAGGAAAGUGGAAUUCCUAGUGUAGCGGUGAAAUGCGUAGAGAUUAGGAGGAACACCAGUGGCGAAGGCGACUUUCUGGACUGUAACUGACGCUGAGGCACGAAAGCGUGGGGAGCAAAC
rnacentral:rRNA from 1 species